AUACUUACCUGGUAGGGGCGAUACCAUGAUCAAGAAGGUGGUUCACCCAGGGUGAGGCUCAUUGCACCCUGGUUGUGCUGACCCCUGCGAAUUCCCCAAAUGUGGAAAUCUCGACUGCGUAAUUUCUGGUAGUGGGGGCCUGCGUUCAUGCUCGUG
rnacentral:snRNA from 1 species